ACCUCUGUGUGUGUGUGUGUGUGUGUGUGUGUGUGUACACACACACACACACACACACACACACACGUACGUUA